AUGGAGGGAGAGCACAUGAGGUAUAACAUGGACCAACAAUGGGACACAAUGGUCAUUAACUUCCUACUUUUCCUACAAACCUCAUCUAAAGGACGCAGUGAGGGAAAGAUAAUUCACAGCUGGGAUACCUUUGAUUUCCUCAGCUGCCACUUCAUAUCAGAAAAUCUUAAGAAUCAGGUGGGUUUGAUUGACUAUCAUACUACCAGAGAGGUAUACUGCAAUUAGGAAGCCGAGAAACAAACAGCAACUGUUUGCUGGUCAAUGAAGCAUGAGAUUAAAGGCUGAUGUCCAAAUGUGAGAAUCCAAUUAGCAAGAUGAUUUAUGUCUGUGGUACAAAAGUAAAAUGCUGCUAUUUAUGUAAUGAAUUCUAGCAUAGUGGGGUUCUCUUACAUGUAAAUUACAGAAAGAUUUAUUGUGAGUAAUUAAAUAUGUAUCUGGAAUAACAGUAUAUGGUGUUAUAAAGAAAUGGCUCAUGAGAAAUGCAGUACAGAAGUGGUGCUUGUUCUUUCACUUUCUGUUGUUUUCCACACUGAAAAAUACAUACCAAGGCCUCUAGUGAUGUACGAUAUUAUGAACACUGCAGUUUCAUAAUUUCUGAUAGGUUUGGGGAUACUCUGACUCAGUAGAUACACAGUAAAAAAAGGCACAGAGUAGAAAAUUCGAUCUGUAUAAAGAAUACGCAGUAGGAAGAGCCUUUUCUUAUGCAGAUGUUUGCAGUAUGAGACUGCUGUAUUUUGCAAUGGUAACCAGUUUGUGGCAGUGCACCAAUGCUUUGGACAUUACUGUGAUCUGUCUCCCAGAAUUAAGCCAAAUAAAGGGCAAAUAGUACGUUCUUCA
rnacentral:lncRNA from 1 species